CAGUCGCCGCGGUAAAACGGAGGGUGCAAGCGUUAAUCGGAAUUACUGGGCGUAAAGCGCACGCAGGCGGUCUGACAAGUCAGAUGUGAAAUCCCCGGGCUUAACCUGGGAACUGCAUUUGAAACUGUCAGGCUGGAGUCUUGUAGAGGGGGGUGGAAUUCCAGGUGUAGCGGUGAAAUGCGUAGAGAUCUGGAGGAAUACCGGUGGCGAAGGCGGCCCCCUGGACAAAGACUGACGCUCAGGUGCGAAAGCGUGGGGAGCAAACAGGAUUAGAGACCCCGGUAGUCCCUGUCUCUUAUAC
rnacentral:rRNA from 1 species